GCAGUGGUGGUUCAGUGGUAGAAUACUUGACUUCCAUAUAGGAGACCUGGGUUCAAUUCCCAGCUGAUGCA
rnacentral:tRNA from 1 species